CCGGGGAGGCCUCAGUGUCUCCUCUCCUUCGGGAGAACGGAAGGACGCCUGCGGCCUACGUGCAAAAUUCUGAUGCUGGUUUACGUAGAUACUCCACUCUCAUGGAGGUGGAGCAUAAUUGCCUACUCUUAAAUGCAGGCUGUCCAUCGAGACUGACUUCCAAAGACUAUAGCAAGGAAAGGACGAAAAAUGAAUAUCUUUAUGCUGGAGAAACCUGAGCAAUGCUAUCUCAGCCAGGAUAUUCUUAAGCAGAAUGGCACCAGCACCCGAGAAGGACCACCUCCUCCAGUGACCUUCCCACCAAAGGAAAAGCAUAGCUUCUUCAGGACCACAAGCAAAAAAAGAUUAAGAAUAUAGAAAUUUCAGAUGUUCUUAGGUAAACAAUAUGUUAAAUGAGAUUUGGAGGGUAAAAGGUGAUCCUGGAAAAAUGUGAAGAGAACCAAUGUAUCUACCUUCAGCUCAAAUCAAAGUCUCUGAGGACAUUGGGAUUAGAGCUUGCUUGGAAAGCUUUACAUGUGGAAGUCAGCUUUGAAUUGUCCUGUAAGGCAUCACUGAUGGGUAUCAGUUAGCUGAAUUCAUGCUCCCCUACAUGAGCACCACCCCUAAAUUCUUUCUUCCACUUUCCUUCCCAAGUGGUCCUCUGACCUUGCUGUCUUAAGCCCUUCAUGGACAAUUUUGGUCCAUCUGUUUUUAUGUGAAGGAGUCUACAUUCCUCUUGGAAGAGACCAUUCAUUGUCUUCCUACUAUAGGGAAGUAUUAAACGAGAGAGAGAGAUGAAAAGAACGUUUGUGAAAUAAAACAUCACAAAGGUAAUGAUACUGUGUUUGAGCUGAAUUUUAUCAUGUGAUGAACUAAAAAUGGCUUUUGAACAAAAAGGCAGGAUAGCAGGGGCUUCUGCUCUGCUCUAACCAGCAAGUAUAGAGUUGGCUCUAAAUAAUGUGUAUUUAUUAUGUGGUUUAAAAGGCAGUUAAAUUCCUGGACAUCUGUAAUAUUCAGAUAGAGUCAAGGUCUAAAGCAGAGUACAAAAUGACUAACUUUGGACUGAGUCUAAUCCACAGACUUGAGAAGGGGGAUGAAGAAGCAUGUGUUCAUAUUUAAUAUAAUAUUUAGAAACUACACAUUAGCACUGAUAGAGUAAUGAGCAAUGGGAGCUGGGGGCGCUCCGAUGUGCCAGAAUCUUCUCCCAUAGAGCUAUAUUUCUUAUUAUAUUAUGUGGGAUUUAAACACUUGGGACCAAUUAAGACUUUGUGUGCUAAACUUAGAUUUGGUUCUGGGGGCAGGGGAAAGUUAUGAAAGAAUUUUAAUUGGGGAAAGUGGAAUGAUCCAAUAUACGGAGCAUGGACUAGAGGGAAAUAAAACAGGAUUCAGGAAAACCAAAUCAGGAGACUGCUAUAGGAACACAGACAGGAAGUCAGGAGAACCUGAACUAAGGCAACUCUUGGGACAAAAGAGGAGAGAUAAUCGAGAGCCUUUUGAGAGGUAGAAGCAGUAGGGCCAAGGGACUAAAUAGAGGAUUCAGAGUAGAGUCCAAGAAGAUUUGAGUGACAAUGGGUAAGGUAGGGUCAUUCAUAUUCUGGAUGAUAUAAAGGAAAAGCAUUUGGAGACAAUAAGCCAUUCUACCUUUUGAAACACUUCAAAACCUAGCCAGUAUGUGCUACAAAGCUGAGGAAAAAGCCUGUUUAAUGACUUGAUAUACUUUCAAAGUCAGUCCAGGUUCUAACAGCCGGCUCUAGUCUGAGGGAUACUUCUUGGAUGGUAUAAGAGGCUAAACUAGUGGUUAUCACUGAUUCCCAUCAAACUAAGCAUCAUACUUGGGAAACUUAGAGCACUGGUUGUCCAAUAGAAGAGUAAAGCAAGCUCCUUGCAAAUUUUUUAAUAUCAGGUGCCUGGACCCUUAGAUUAGGCAUCUCCAGGAAGGGCCUAGACUCUUAAAUCAUGCAAGAGCAUCCAGUUCAGUUCAGUCCAUUCAGUCGCUGAGUCGUGUCCGACUCUUUGC